rnacentral:lncRNA from 1 species
CACCUAGUGGCUUGGGACAGGGGAGGCUCACCUAGGAACCAGUCAAACAUUUGCAGAUGAAAUUAGCCCUCUGUGAGGUGCUGUGAAGAACCAGAGGCUGUGGAGGUGGUCAUUUGGCUUCCAGGCACCUUUCCCUGUUUUAACAAGUGUGAAAAACAGCAGAAGCUCAGGGUUCAGCCUGGGGAUUGGUCACAAAAGGCUCACGCUUCUUAGCCAGUCCAAGAGCAAGAACAGGACCUCACCAGCGCCCCCAUACCUCCUUGGCAUACAUAGUCACUUUUUGGGAGUGAGUG